AGUGAACGCUGGCGGUAGGCCUAACACAUGCAAGUCGAACGGCAGCACAGUAAGAGCUUGCUCUUACGGGUGGCGAGUGGCGGACGGGUGAGGAAUACAUCGGAAUCUACUUUUUCGUGGGGGAUAACGUAGGGAAACUUACGCUAAUACCGCAUACGUCCUACGGGUGGAAGCAGGGGAUCUUCGGACCUUGCGCGAUUGAAUGAGCCGAUGUCGGAUUAGCUAGUUGGCGGGGUAAAGGCCCAGCAAGGCGACGAUCCGUAGCUGGUCUGAGAGGAUGAUCAGCCACACUGGAACUGAGACACGGUCCAGACUCCUACGGGAGGCAGCAGUGGGGAAUAUUGGACAAUGGGCGCAGGCCUGAUCCAGCAAUACCGCGUGAGUGAAGAAGGCCUUCGGGUUGUAAAGCCCUUUUGUUGGGAAAGAAAAGCAGCAGGUUAAUACCCCGCUGUUCUGACGGUACCCAAAGAAUAAGCACCGGCUAACUUCGUG
rnacentral:rRNA from 1 species